GAUAUUGUAAGGUUUCAGCCAAACAGAGGGCCUACUAAUUACCCACUGCCCAGGGGGAACACUGGACAGUGACCUAGUAGCCGCGCCAAACAAGAUAGUACUUGUCGACGGAGCUACUAGGUUUUGAGAAAAACAAAUAUUAAUAAAAGAGAAAGGCCAUGUAUAAUAUAACAACAUUUUUUUUAAUUAUUUAAUUAAAAAAUUUAUAAUUACUAUUAAAGAUAUAAAUAUAUUCAUAUAAAAGAAGAAAGAAAAAAGAAAAGGAGGUGCUUGAUACACAAAUUAAAAAGGGGGUAAAAGGGGGUUUUAUUGAUGU